CUCCUGCUUGGCCACCAUCUUUUCUAACCGGGGGCCUAGGAUCUUGCAGGGACCACACCAUUGCGCGUGGAAAUCCACCACCACGGGCUUAGGGCUGUUCACCACCCGCUCUUGGAAGUCGCCUCCGUCCUGCACGUUGAAGGCGCUGCCGCGGAUCGCCGAGCUGCCGAAGGCCCGGCCGGGUAAGCCCUGAGAGGCCAACGGCCUGGGCCCAAGGGGCAGCGGCCUGCGUCCCAGGGCCAGCAGCCGCCUCAGUGCCAGCCUCUGGGCCAUCUUCCCGGCCCGGAGGUGACCCCUGCCCAACCCCGCUUCCUUCCAGCGGUCCCGCCCUCCCGCACGCUGAUUGGCCUCCCUCACCAGAGCGGUGAGCUCUUAUUGGCUGCCGCGGCUGCCAGCUAGGGAGGAGGAUGUUGCACCGCAGGGGCGGAUCCCGAACGACGAUUGGUGGAGAAUAACGCCAAUCAGCGCUCAGGCCCCACCCUCGCC
rnacentral:lncRNA from 1 species